rnacentral:lncRNA from 1 species
UAAAAUGUAUAAAUCAUAUUUUGCUCAUAGAUCCAAAGAAGAACGCUGAUGAGAUUAGGAUCUUUCACGUUGGAGGAGCAUAGCCGGAGAUGGUGAUUUAUUAAAAUUAAAUUGGGGAAUAUGGGAUGAAGAUCGAUGAGAUGGAGAAGUGGAGAACAGCUGCGUGGUGAGGGUGAGCAGUAAGCGAAGGACAACAGAAAUAUAGUGGAGUUUUGGCUGCCGACGAAAUUGAGCGGCGGGUGGCAGAAACAAGAUGCUAAAAUUUGGGCAAGAUGUCUUCCACAAGCUGUGGGCUGGAAUUUUUUUUUCCAAAUUUGAUGAAGAUCCCUCUUCUUCAAUCUUCUCUUCCUAAUUUGCUCCCCUCCCUCCGCCUGCCCUGCCGGAAAACGCCGCCGCCACCUCCUGUCAUGACCCAUGACGGUGACGGCGGCGGCAACAACGGUGGCGACGGUGGUGAGUUGAAGAACGGCAAUAAUUUUGGAAGUGAAGUGGGAUUGAGUUUUGCAGCUGGGCCGAAAACAAGUGGGCCGAAAUUUAUUAAUGAGUCGGGCCCAAGUGCAAUUGGAGAUUGGAAGAAAUUAAUUAAAUAUUUUAAUUGUUAUUUUCAGAUUUUAAUUAUUAUUAGAUGUUUUUGUUAUAAGGGUUGGACGAGUUGAAUGAAAGGCAUGAAGCCAAUUUUCAGAAUCUCUCUCUUAUCUCUGUAUUCUUCUUCUUCCCCAAGUUUUCUUCCUCUCUAAUUUCUUCCCCCAAUUUCUAUCUCAAUUAUCAAUUUAAUUUCUACUUUUAUAUUAUAAUUAAACCAUAAAAAUACCCAAAAAUAGCUGGGAUCUUACACCUCCACACACGCAAUUCCACUUCCAAAUUGACGCUAUAAUGUCGAAAAUAACUUCAUUUUUCGGCAAAUAAAUGUCAAUUUUUCCCCUUAAAUUCGACACCUACCUGUUAUGUCGAAAUUUUUGAAAAGAAUCGACACUUGUGUGUCGAAUUAAAAAUCGACAUUUGUGAGCGGCGAUGGAGGACUUUUUUUCGACGGCAAUAGAGGACAUCUUAUACGGCGGUGAUGGAGGACUUUUUUCCGGCGGUGGAGUCGGCGAGGCAAGUCGGUGUGUGGGCUUUACCGUCUUUUCCUAAAAACUGCCAAAAUCAUGUAUAAUUGACAUUUUUCUGAUUACAGAAAAAUCUCUUAACAAAAGAUGUCUUCAAUUGCUUCAACCUCAGCAAAAAUGGCGUCAAUCGCCUCCAUCAACAAAUUACCUUGUAAUUCCUUGAAGAAUUCGUCUUAGAACUCUAAAUCAGCGCCGAUUGUUGCCUCGUGUAGCGUAAUCGGGUCAAAUUUCCGGCACUCUCGACGGCGAAGGUGAAGCGGGAUUUCUCCGUUCGGUUGGUGAGCGACGAUGAGUGGUGUCCUGACAGCGAGCCUUCCUCCGCCGGAGUGGCGGUUCUGGAGGAGAGGCCGUCAGAAAUUGAUGUGUUGAAGAAGCAAUUGGUGGAUUCGUUUUACGGAACGAACAGGGGAUUGAGUGCUUCUAGUGAAACUAGGGCUGAGGUUGUGGAUUCGUUUUACGGAACGAACAGGGGAUUGAGUGUUUCCGGCAGUUCCUUUCUUUUUUCCUUUUUUUUGUACUUUUUUUUUUUUUGUAAUAUUUAUUUUCAUUUAUUAUUAAAGAUGCAAGUGAAGGGACGAAUUUACCCCUCAAAAUCUCACGUGCA